GGAGCAACAGGCCUGAUGAAGAAGAACCUGAAGAAAUACCUUGAGGCAAUCCCCGGUCACCCAAGUGCACAUGAGGUGCAGUUAUCAGCAAUUAAGCGAACGGUCUCCAUCUUGAAGAGAGCCCUCGGAUGCAAUGUCAGCAAAGUUUAAGGUGCAACUUUAGACCCUGGGUUUGGGACUCGUUACAUUCGUUAAAAAAGAAAAAAAAAAUCCAAGAGGAUAAAAGGUGGCUCAGUGUGUGUUGGAAAAACUGUGAAUAUGCCUUAUUUUGUUAUCACUUAAAUGUCUAAAGGAAUUUUCUUUAAUCUGAAGUAGAAGUAACCCGUGACAUGAUUAAUGCAGUGUCUAUCAUACGCAGUGUUCAGAUACAUGAGAUAUCUGAGGUCUUUGUCUUGCUUAGUCAGAGCAACAAGAAGUCUCUCAUGGUGUGAUUAAUGCAAUGUGUUUGUUUUUCAUACGCAGUGUUCAGAUACAUGAGGUAUCUCAGGUCUUUGUCUUGCUUAGUCAGGGCAACUAGAAAAAUACAAGCUGUUGCCACACAUUCACACGUGGUAUUUGUCAAUCUUAUUUUGCUGAUAGUGACACUAAAGAUUGUAACUGUCCUUGUUCCCAGGAGAGUCUGUGCUGUUAAUUUCUGCUUUGUAACCAUGGUAACCCUCACCCUUGUUUGCUUGAAUGAAUAAAAAGCUGAAGGAGAGUAUCACUCAGCAGAGACAGAAGGAAUUUGAUGCCUGAGUGAUACUCUCUCUCCUCGUGAGUAAAAGAGAAGCAAUGACUCCUGGUGUGUUUCUUUAUCAGGUUGACUAUGAUUUCUAUUACAGGGUGAACCUGACAGUGUGUCAGCAGAUUUGGAUUAAAAGGUGUGAAGGUGUGUUGUGUUUCGAUGUUUAUGGUGUUUAACCUGUCAGCAAGAUGUUGCAGUAGUCGAGGUGUGAGAUGGCGUCUGUCAGGAGUCCUGCUGCAUGCUGGGAGACUUUGUGAUUCUCUCAAUAUGUUGAAAUUGUACAUUUUGGGGAAAAUACAGACUUGUUUGAUUUAAAACAAACUCAUCCCAAUUUUUUCCUCCUUUUGUUCUUGAUGGAUUUUGAUUAUCAUGUUUUUGUUUGAUUCAUCAAAGCACCGGUCACAAUUCUUCCUCACAAAAUAUUAAAGUUUUGAAUUGUUUUGGGAAAUGUAGACAUUUUUUUAU